rnacentral:rRNA from 1 species
AACGAACGCUGGCGGCAGGCCUAACACAUGCAAGUCGAGCGAGCAUUUCGGUGCUAGCGGCGGACGGGUGAGUAACGCGUGGGAACGUGCCCUUUUCUGCGGAAUAGUCCUGGGAAACUGGGGGUAAUACCGCAUACGCCCUUUUGGGGAAAGAUUUAUCGGAGAAGGAACGGCCCGCGUUGGAUUAGGUAGUUGGUGGGGUAAUGGCCCACCAAGCCGACGAUCCAUAGCUGGGUUGAGAGGCUGAUCAGCCACACUGGGACUGAGACACGGCCCAGACUCCUACGGGAGGCAGCAGUGGGGAAUCUUAGACAAUGGGGGCAACCCUGAUCGAGCCAUGCCGCGUGAGUGAUGAAGGCCUUAGGGUUGUAAAGCUCUUUAAGCUGGGAAGAUAAUGACGGUACCAGCAGAAGAAGCCCCGGCUAACUCCGUG